GGGAGUAUAGUUAAUAAUAACAUUUAAUUUGCAAUUAAAAGGUACUUUUAGUUAUUCUCA
rnacentral:tRNA from 1 species